GCCUGUUUAUCAAAAACAUAGCCUAUUGAUCCACCAUAAUAGGUGAUUCCUGCCCAGUGAUACGUUAAACGGCCGCGGUAACCUGACCGUGCAAAGGUAGCAUAAUAAUUUGCCUCCUAAUUAGAGGCUGGUAUGAAUGGAUUUACGAAAGUAUAGCUGUCUCCUAUAAAAACAUAAAAACUAAACUUCAAGUGAAGAUGCUUGAAUAAAACUAAAGGACAAAAAGACCCUGUCGAGCUUUACCUAAAAUUAGUUUAAUAACUUAAUUAAGGUUUAGUUGGGGCGACUAAGGAAAAAAUAAAGCUUCCUUAAUAAUCAGACAAAUAUGUCUCAUAAAAGAUCUGCUAUAAGCAAUUUACAAAAAAGCUACCGCAGGGAUAACAGGCUAAUCCUUCUUAAGAGCUCAAAUUGACAGAAGGGUUUGGCACCUCGAUGUUGGCUUAAGGUCCCCUCUAAGUGUAGCAGCCUAGAAGGUAGGUUUGUUCAACCUUUAAAACCUUACGUGAUCUGAGUUCAGACC
rnacentral:rRNA from 1 species